UACCAAUGGCGCUGAGCAGUCCAAGGUUGC
rnacentral:piRNA from 1 species